rnacentral:lncRNA from 1 species
GUGAUCAAUGUGGUAAAGCCUUUACAUCUCAUAGUUAUCUCCAAGUACAUAAAAGAAUACAUACUGGAGAGAAGCUCUAUGAAUGUGAUCAAUGUGGUAAAGCCUUUACAUCUCAUAGUUAUCUCCAAGUACAUAAAAGAAUACAUACUGGAGAGAAGCCCUAUGUAUGUGAUCAAUGUGGUAAAGCCUUUGCUCGACUCAGUUAUCUCAAAACGCAUGGAAUAACACAUACUGGAGAGAAACCUUACAAGUGUGAUCAAUGUGGUAAAGCCUUUGAACAUCGUUGUAAUCUUGGAAGUCAUAAAUUAAUACAUACUGGAGAGAAACCUUACAAAUGUGAUCAAUGUGGUAAAGCCUUUCAUCUCAUAGUUAUCUCCAAGUACAUAAAAGAAUACAUACUGGAGAGAAGCUCUGUGAAUGUGAUCAAUGUGGUAAAGCCUUUUCAUCUCAUAGUUAUCUCCAAGUACAUAAAAGAAUACAUACUGGAGAGAAUCUCUAUGAAUGUGAUCAAUGUGGUAAAGCCUUUGCAUCUCAUAGUUAUCUCCAAGUACAUAAAAGAAUACAUACUGGAGAGAAUCUCUAUGAAUGUGAUCAGUGUAGUAAAGCCUUUGCAUCUCAUAGUUAUCUCCAAGUACAUAAAAGAAUACACACUGGAGAGAAGCCCUAUGUAUGUGAUUGGUGUAAUAAAGCCUUUGCAUAUCAUAGUUAUCUCCAAGUACAUAAAAGAAUACAUACUGGAGAGAAGCCCUAUGUGUGUGGUCAAUGUGGUAAAGACUUUGUAGUUCCGAGUGAGCUUAAGAGACAUAAAAGAACACAUACUGGAGAGAAACCUUACAAAUGUAAUGAAUGUGAUAAGGCCUUUGUAGGUCAGAAUGAUCUCCAAGUACAUAAAAGAAUACAUACUGGAGAGAAGCCCUAUGUAUGUGAUCAAUGUGGUAAAGACUUUGUAGUUCCGAGUGAGCUUAAAAGACAUAAAAGAAUACAUACUGGAGAGAAACCUUACAAAUGUAAUGAAUGUGGUAAGGCCUUUGUAGGUCAGAAUGAUCUUAAAAAACAUAGAAGAACACAUACUGGAGAGAAACCUUACAAAUGUAAUGAAUGUGGUAAGGCCUUUGUAUUCAAUUUUAAUCUCCGAGCACAUAAAGUAAUACAUACUGGAGAGAAACCUUACAAAUGUAGUGAAUGUGGUAAAGCCUUUGCAUGUAACACUAGUCUCCGAACACAUAAAGCAAUACAUACUGGAGUGAAACCUUUCGAAUGUAAGCAAUGUGGUAAAGCCUUUGCAUGUAACACUAGUCUCCAAACACAUAGAGCAAUACAUACUGGAGUGAAACCUUUCGAAUGUAAGCAAUGUGGUAAAGCCUUUGUAGGUCAGAAUGACCUUAAAAGGCAUGAAAGAAUUCAUACUGGAGAGAAACCUUACGAAUGUAAUGAAUGUGGUAAAGCCUUUUCACAAUCAAGCCAACUCCAACUACAUAAAAGAACACAUACAUACUAAAGAGUAACCCUGUGAAUGUAACCAAUGCAGUAAAGCCUUUACUGUGAUAUUCAAAGGUAUGGUGGUUAAAAUAUACUUGGCCCAUGGCAAGUGGCAUUGUUAUGAGGUAUGGCCCUUUUGGAGUAGAUGUGGCCUUUGAGGAUGUGUGUCACUGUGGGGGAGGGGGUGGUGGUGGUUGG